rnacentral:piRNA from 1 species
UGAAUUAGGUAGCCUGGCCCAAAAGGAC